rnacentral:rRNA from 1 species
CCCCUAGACGUUCUGGGCUGCACGCGCGCUACAAUAAUACGCACAGCGAGUAUCACCGAGCUCGAAAGGGCAAGGUAAACAAUAGAAAAGGUACUGUAAUGGUUAUAGAUCCUUGUAAUUAUUGAUCUUCAACGAGGAAUUCCUAGUAAGUAUGUGUCAUCAUCACGCACUGAUUACGUCCCUGCCCUUUGUACACACCGCCCGUCGCUCCUACCGAUUGGGUGAGCCGAUGAAACUCUCGGAUGUAGGCUAUUCAUAGCCCGCAGAAGAGAUUUGAAUCGUAGCGCUUAGAGGAAGGAGAAGUCGGAACA